rnacentral:rRNA from 1 species
AUUGAACGCUGGCGGCAGGCUUAACACAUGCAAGUCGAACGAGUGGCGGACGGGUGAGUAACAUUUAGGAAUCUGCCUAGUAGUGGGGGAUAGCUCGGGGAAACUCGAAUUAAUACCGCAUACUAUUAGAUGAGCCUAAAUCAGAUUAGCUAGUUGGUGGGGUAAAGGCCCACCAAGGCGACGAUCUGUAACUGGUCUGAGAGGAUGAUCAGUCACACCGGAACUGAGACACGGUCCGGACUCCUACGGGAGGCAGCAGUGGGGAAUAUUGGACAAUGGGGGCAACCUGAUCCAGCCAUGCCGCGUGUGUGAAGAAGGCCUUUUGGUUGUAAAGCACUUUAAGCAGGGAGGCGUUACCUGCAGAAUAAGCACCGGCUAACUCUGUGCCAGCAGCCGCGGUAAUUC